rnacentral:rRNA from 1 species
GAUGAACGCUAGCGACAGGCUUAACACAUGCAAGUCGAGGGGCAGCAUAGAAGUAGCAAUACUUUGGUGGCGACCGGCGCACGGGUGAGUAACGCGUAUGCAACCUACCUAUCAGAGGGGAAUAACCCGGCGAAAGUCGGACUAAUACCGCAUAAAACAGGGGCACCGCAUGGUGAUAUUUGUUAAAGAAAUUCGCUGAUAGAUGGGCAUGCGUUCCAUUAGGUAGUUGGUGAGGUAACGGCUCACCAAGCCGACGAUGGAUAGGGGAACUGAGAGGUUGGUCCCCCACACUGGUACUGAGACACGGACCAGACUCCUACGGGAGGCAACAGUGAGGAAUAUUGGUCAAUGGGCGGGAGCCUGAACCAGCCAAGUCGCGUGAAGGAAGAAGGAUCUAUGGUACGUAAACUUCUUUUGCAGGGGAAUAAAGUGCGGGACGUGUCCUGUUUUGUAUGUACCCUGAGAAUAAGGAUCGGCUAACUCCGUGCCAGCAGCCGCCGUAACAC